rnacentral:lncRNA from 1 species
GACUGGACAGUGUGUUAUUAGGCUGGACGAGACACGGACGACUGGAACAGGUGAUACUGUACAAAAUGUCAGUUGAAGUGACAUGAAGGUUUUCACUUGUUAGCAUCUCUUGAGCUGCGGUUUGUUCACCUCUAGGUCAGAGCUCUCAGCUCAUGGAGGCGUUCAGAGGGUUUGAAUGAGACCAAGCUCGAGUUGAAACAGCCGUUCUCCUCCACUCUCAGCCAACUGUCCUUUCAUACAUUGUCCCUCAGCUCAAAGAGGGGUCAAAACAGCAGCCACCAGACCAAUUUGUCAUGGGACAGUGUAGUCCCUGUCAACGUCUCCCUCACUCUCAACAAACAGCAGGAGAACAACUCCAGCAGGGGGCAGGCAUGUGCUGUAUUCUCCACACCUCAGAUGAGUGUGUCUUUCGUUAAAGGUUGUGUGUCAGUAGGUCAGGAGGGCAAAUCCUAUUCACAAAAUGCAGAGCUAAAGUGGAACAACAGGAGUGUCAAGCAAGGCUUGACGUAUGAGAAGUGUCCAAGAGGAGUACAUAACCUUCAGGUUAACAUUGGGUUGGACAAAGUUUCUCCUGCACCCUGUCCUUCGCACAUGCUGCUGGCCAAAGUCCAGACCAACCUCAGGGAUCAUUUGCAGCACACAGUGCAGCUGGGCUUCUGCCCCCCACAGCCUACUCUGUCAUGGUCAGGAUCACACAGAGUGAACUCAGGACAGGAGCUGUUUUACACACAGUCUCGAUUAUCAGUGACAGGACGGCCCGACCCGUGCAGCCUCACCGUGGUCCUCACUAAUUCCUCCACUGCUCAGGGCACUAACAUGUCUCUCUUCUCUGAGUCUAGGAUUGGCAACUGGAGUGUGGAGGUGGGGGGCACUGCCUUGUCUUGGCCCCGGGGCUCUCGUCUCCACGUGCAGGCCAGACUGGACCACAGAGAGAAGAUCUGGCUGAGCGGGACAGUAGAGGGGCCGUGUCUUCAGACCACAGCUGGAUACAUGAACGGUAAAUUCAGUAAAGCCUCUGCAAUAUUUUCAAAAAUGUCAGUAACUAUUAUUAUGAAGCAUUCGCACUCUUUAUGUGCAGGUUCAGACCUUAAUGAGGACCUCACUUUGGCAGCGUGUGUGGGAACAAAUCACAGCUUUGUGCUGGAUGUGCAGAAAAGAGACAGCAGCAGCAGCAAGUAUGAAACCCUGGGCAGUGUGUCUGUGGGAACAACCAAACAGAAACUGAUGCUGAGAGCAAGUGGCUGUUUGGAGAGUCUGACAGCGGUGGAGACACGGCUUCGCUAUUUAAGUUCUCAGAUACAGAAGAAGCUGCUGGAGAGAAUCAAGACAUUACAGCUUCUCCUCAACGAAUUCAGACGACAGUCCACGGAUGGUGAGUUACUCCAGGAGCUGAUAGCACUGCCUCUUCACAUUGCCCAGUGUGUUGAGGCUCAGCUAUUGCAGAGAGACAGAGGCCUGUUGGCUCUGUGGCUGCAGAGCCCCCUUCGUCGCACCGUGACCGAAAGCUUGCCUCGCUUUCUGAGUGUGCUGCAGCAUGCCUCUCUGCUGGGACAACAGGAACUGAAGAGGCCCCUGGCCACUCUGGCAGGUGUGUAUCAGGAUGUGAAGGGCCAGAGGCUGGAGGCGCUGUGGAGGGAGGCUGUUUCUCUGUGGACUGACGGGCUGGUGGAGGUCUUACCUGCUCUCCUAGGGAACCCUCAGCUGAGGCCACUUGCUCAAACUGGCAUUGCCACACUCAACGUCGCCCUGGAUGUGACAGGACAGCAUACUUACCAGUGGAUGGAGACCAGGUUGGCCAUGGCUCUGUCUGGAGUCAGGAAACGACUGGCCUCUGUCUACAAAUUCUCCCCGAGGUACUAA